rnacentral:lncRNA from 1 species
GUCUUCUAGGCUUUCACCCUCUGCCAGUCAGCUAUCGAGAUUGAGAUGCCUGCCUCAAAACCAGUCAUCCGAGUGGGGCCCUGCGACAUGUGCCAUAUUUAGGUUGCUUGCGACUGAGACUUUUAGGGAUUUAGAUAACAUCCGGUCGGGAAAGAGCCACUACUUGGCUUAAUUAAUUGAAGGAAAAUUAGAUCCCUCUUCGACAUCAGAUUCUUAUCCUCUUUUCCGGGGGAAAGGAUGUUUUAUUCUCUACGGCCCAAGGAAAAAGUGGUCUGCUUUAUGGAAUCUUAUCUCAGCAAGGGGUGUCGCUUUCGUUUUCAAUAAGGACGUUUAGUAGGAGGUACUUGCCCUUAGAACCAUAAGAUUGACAUUGGCGAGUCGCCUUUUUCUUUUUACAUGAAAGGUGGGUAGGGGAUCUUAAUACUGCCAAAGAGCUCGAGUAGAUUCAUGAAUGUCCUGGAAUUUCAGUAUGGGCAAAAGAGGUCGAGAGAGUCUUAUGCCGCGCAAUCUCUUGCCGAAUCUAUUUAGACUAUGUUAAAUCCAUAACCCGAGAACACACAUUUGCGAAUCCGGCCUAAAGGGGAGGCUCUAAUCUACUAUCUAUUAAUCUAUUAAUAGAACUAGAGCCCAUUUUCAGCUUCCCUAGGAGCUAGAGAUAGAAUGAUUUCCGCUGCCAUAAAAAAGUGGGUUUAGCCUUCCCCGGGGACUACUCUAAAGGGAAACUAAAUGUCUUAUAGUUAAGAGAGCCCCCUAAGGUCGAGUGAGCUGGAGCGCGUCUGGCCUAAGCUGAUUUAUUAGGCUAGGGUCAAAGUGCUUUUAAUUCGUUGGCCGGUGUAAAACGAAUCAAAGAAGGUAUACCUCGUCCGCAGCCAGAAAAUGGUUGGAGAGUGAGAAGGAGGAAGCACUAAUCGCCCUACAUCGGAAACUUAGAAGAGAAAGGUUCGCCGAUGAAGCUGAUUGGGGUAGGUGAAGUACGUGAUGGACUUUACCAUUACUUGCCAACUUCUCCCGAAAGUGAAUACUUAUGUAAACCGAAAAGCGCAUAAAAACUUAAGAAAGGGACAGUCUCCUCGACUGAUAACCGAGCAAUCCCAAAAGGAGACCACAUGGCGACCCAUCCAUAGGACUAAUCUACCAAAUGAACCCCUCCCUGGGCAACGGACUACUUCUUUUUAGAGCGGGCUAUUUCUAGGGCGAGGAAUAUAUUUCUAUUUAACUACUCCAUCUGGUCAAGAGCCAGCAUCUCAAUGCAACAUUAUUCCAUUCUCAGUCUGUAGUGCUUCUGCCAGCUAAUGCUAAUAGAAGAUAAGAGAUUGUUGAAAGUAACUGAACAAGGUUGUACAGCUUUGGUUCAUUAAUAUCAAGUCUAAAGGGCCAUGUAUCCAUAGUCAAAGUCCCCUGUGAUCAAGCAUAGUUUGUGAAAGUGGGAUCUUUUUUUC